UACGAAGGGGGCUAGCGUUGCUCGGAAUCACUGGGCGUAAAGCGCACGUAGGCGGACUCUUAAGUCAGGGGUGAAAUCCUGGAGCUCAACUCCAGAACUGCCUUUGAUACUGGGAGUCUUGAGUUCGGGAGAGGUGAGUGGAACUGCGAGUGUAGAGGUGAAAUUCGUAGAUAUUCGGAGGAACACCAGUGGCGAAGGCGGCUCACUGGUCCAUUACUGACGCUGAGGUGCGAAAGCGUGGGGAGCAAACAGG
rnacentral:rRNA from 1 species